ensembl:lncRNA
AGAGACAUUCCUAUAAUGCAAAACUGAUUGUGAGGAGAUAAUAAGCAGACGGAUUUGAUUUUUGCUCAAGCCCUGAGAGUCACAAUCUAUGUGGGCAAAUGAUGUCAGCUUCCUUCAGUGCCUGUUUCCUUGUCACACUGUUCUUUGUUCAUAGUGUCUCUGUGUGCAAUGAGUGGUGAAUGAAAACUGAAGACACCGUCUGGCAACUGUAAGAUGGAGCAGAAACCCAGACGCAUUACAAGGAAGAUGGAUCGGUGCAUCACAUUUGCAACAAUAGAGCUGCAGCAACGAUGACUGAAUAUGAAGACCUGUGAGAGUAUAUAGAUUCUGGAGGAAAUAAAUGUCACAUAUGAAACAGAUUCCAAGAUUAAAACAAGUCUAGAU